UCAUAGGGGUGCAAGAAGAAAGAGGCUACUUCUCCUUAGUCAUGGAUAUUAAACGACAUACCAAAACCAAACCUAAUCGGGUUCAGUUGCGAACGGUGUCGUUUGCUUCUCCCUAUCGUUCGUAUUCACUUCGCCAUUGACAUUGACAACGAUUCCAACUACAGACCACUAAAGUGAAAAAUUUCUCAGUCACAAAAAUUUCUUAACUCCCUUUUUCUCCUUGUCUAUAUUUCCCUUCGUCUUGUCACUCUGCAAAUCCAUUUCCCAGCUUUCAUCUUGAAUUUGAGACAUCAAUCUGCGCUGUGCUAUUUGGCAAGUUCACACCUAUUUUACUUACUGGUUGACAUUUUGUGAUAGAGAUCUCUGUACCACUGCAGAUUCUACCAUGGAUCUUGUCCAUUUGAAUAAUGUUGCUCGAGUAACAACAUCCUGAUUGAAGAAUUCCUUUGACAGGUGGAAAUAUUAAAUGGUUGUUUGGGUUUGAAGUUUAUUUUUGAAAUCAGGAGUUCCUUGCAUCGUAAAAACACUUCAAGUGUCCCUGUUUGCUUUCCAAAUUGUUCGCAGAUGUCAGAAACUGACUUGGCAGUUAUUAAACCCGAGAUGAUGAAGCCUUAUGUCUGGCUUCAGACUUCAGAUGAUUCGAUCCAACAAGUGGAACAAGAAAUUGCAAUGUUUUGUCCACUUAUAUGUCAAGAAAUAAUACAAAAAGGCAUGGGAUCUUCCAAGAACUGUGCAAUAUGUCUUCCUCAACAAGUCAGUCCUGCCAUGUUGAGCUUAAUUCUUGAUUAUUGUCGUUUUCAUCAAGUACCAGGCCGGUCAAACAAGGAACGUAAAUCUUAUGAUGAGAAAUUUGUUAGGAUAGACACAGAGAGGCUUUGUGAGUUGACAUCUGCUGCAGACAGCCUUCAGUUAAAACCGUUAGUCGAUCUAACCAGCCGUGCACUUGCUCGAAUAAUUGAAGGGAAGACGCCAGAGGAGAUACGUGAUAUAUUUCAUUUGCCAGAUGAUCUUACAGAGGAAGAAAAGCUGGAGCCAUUGAGAAAUAUAACUGCUGACCCAAGGAUCAGGCUUUUGAACCGUUUGUAUGCAAAAAAGAGAAAAGAACUAAAAGAGCGUGAAAGGUUAAAGAAUGUUGAGGUUGAAGAAGAACAUGUAGAUGAUCGUUCAGUUGAUGACUUGUUGUCCUUUAUCAACGGAAAUGAUGGAGAUCCAAAGGGAGUUAAAACUUCAAAGAAUAAAAAGAAGAAUAGGAGGAAAAAAGAGCAACAGAAGAAUUCUUCUUUGAAGGAGGCAUCUGAACUGAACAAGAAGGAGGUAAAUGGUCAUGAUAUCAGACACCAAAGUUCUGAAGCUGAGAUAAUUAGUGAGACCUCGUAUUUACACUGUGCAGAAGAUGAUGGUUUUACUUCUAAGCCUGAGUUUGAUGAUGAUGAGAUUGAUCCCGCUUUAAAGGAAAAAAUUGACAGAGGACAAGGCUGCAGAAUGAUUGAACUUUUUCCUUCUCUUUUUUGGUUUUCAAGAAAUCUAAUAGGAAGAAGCUCAAUUUAGAAAAGCCUUUUAAGAUCUACACCCAUACGCCAAAGAAAUGAAUUGCGUCUAUUCAUAAUUAGCUAUUUCAGGGAGAGGGAAGUCAAUUGAGAAUUCUGUUAUGGCUGGGAAAUCUGAAUUGUGGGAGGAAUCAUGGAAUUGUUAAUUGAUUGGAGUCUUGAGAUCUUCUGAUUUGGGGAUUUUGCACCUGGCGUAUGCAAACAAGGAUGAUGUCAAAGACCUGAUAAUAAAGGAAAAUAUGGGCUAACAAUAUUAUAACUAAUAAUAUCUAACACUGCAUAUAUAUUUGUUUAUUUUUUAAUUGUAGGUAUUAUAGUCAUCUAUGGCUAAGUGAAGAUUGUAAUUGAGUUCCUCCACAUCAACACAUUGAACUUGCUAAAUGCUUUAGGAGAUUAUUUCUCGAUAUGAAUGCAAGAGAUGAGUGGAUAGAGUUUGUUGACUUAUAAUAUGGAAGAGAAUUUUGAGAUGAUACCGGUUCAUUGAGUGAUAGGGGUAACAUGAAUCUAAAAACAAGGAGAGACGAGAUGGCAUCACAUAGAGUGGACGAUUUGGUAGUUCAAAUUCUUUGAAGGAAUACUUCACAAUAUGAAAAGGAGACAAAAUUGUGGGUGGAUGUAGGUGGAGACGAUUUGGGUUCAUUUGAUGAUUAUGCAAUUCUUGAAGUUGCUAAUUUGUCUUAGAUGAACCUAAGCUAGAGGGUGUCUUUCUAUGAUGACAAAAGGCUGAAAUGUCUAAAAUGGAAGAGAUCCUCUUUUCACAUUUUGGAUUCUAGACAAUGAAUUAUAUCCUUUUCUGUUUUAGGCAACAAUGCGUUCAAACUGUUAUAUUUGACUGGGUUUCUUUUAGAUGAUUUGGAAUGUAUUAAAUAAUUCAUAAUGAUGAUCAAUAUGUGUGUGUGCCUGUGUGUGCAUGUGUAUAUAUAUGUAAAUGUAUACCUGUGCUGCCGUGACCUUCAUUUGGGAGAUCACAGGUGUUGCUGUGUUGUGUUCAUGUCUGUGUGCUUCAUAGCUGAUUACCCAAACUAAUGGACUUCCACUUCGAGGUAAAUCUAUAAACCAGGUCUAGAAAAAAAAAAAAAGUAGCAGAUGCUCUCUCUACCAUCCAUCACUGAGCUUAAUACCAUUUCCAUUAGUCUGUGUUGAGUUGAUUUCCGAAACUAAGAGAUGAGGUAUAGAACAUCCUAGGUUGAUUUGCAUCUGUAAUGAAAUACAACCCUAUCCAACUUCCAUGGUGAACUAUGUUUGUUGUGAGGGUUGAUUGUUUUUAAUGGGUGUUUCAUGUUGUCCCCCUUCUUCUGUUUUGAUUUCUAUGUUAACUAAAUUUCAUG